rnacentral:rRNA from 1 species
UACGUAGGGGGCGAGCGUUGUCCGGAGUUACUGGGCGUAAAGGGCAUGCAGGCGGUCGGACGCGUUUCGGGUGACAGCGGGUGGCUUAACUACCCGAGUGGUCGAAAGACGGUUUGACUUGAGGACGCGAGAGGGACACGGAAUUCCUGGUGUAGCGGUGAAAUGCGCAGAUAUCAGGAGGAACACCGAUGGCGAAGGCAGGUCUCUGGGCCACUACUGACGCUGAGAAGCGAAAGCAUGGGGAGCGAACAGG